GACGGAGGAUGCAAUCGUUAUCCGGAAUGAUUGGUCGUAAAGCGUCCGCAGGUGGCAGUUCAAGUCUGCUGUCAAAGACCGGGGCUUAACUUCGGAAAGGCAGUGGAAACUGAACAGCUAGAGUAUGGUAGGGGCAGAGGGAAUUCCUGGUGUAGCGGUGAAAUGCGUAGAGAUCAGGAAGAACAUCGGUGGCGAAGGCGCUCUGCUGGACCAUAACUGACACUCAGGGACGAAAGCUAGGGGAGCGAAUGGG
rnacentral:rRNA from 1 species